rnacentral:misc_RNA from 1 species
AAUUCUCAAACCUCACGAGUUUUGCGACUUGUCGAGGCUUUGGAUGUGGGGGUUGCUGGCUUUCACGAGUCAGCUCUCCUUAAAUGCAUUAGUGGUUACUGUUCACUACAUCCUGGUGUGAUAAUAUCUACGCCUAGUAGCGAUGUUAAGUGUAGCUGCUUCUAACCGUCCAUUGACUUGGACAAUUUGAACC